CUACGGGACGCUGCAGAGGGGAAUAUUGCACAAUGGAGGAAACUCUGAUGCAGCAACGCCGCGUGGAGGAUGACACUUUUCGGAGCGUAAACUCCUUUUAUAUAGGAAGAAGAUGACGGUACUAUAUGAAUAAGCGCCGGCUAACUCCGUGCCAGCAGCCGCGGUAAUACGGAGGGCGCAAGCGUUACUCGGAAUCACUGGGCGUAAAGAGCGUGUAGGCGGAUUAAAAAGUCAGAAGUGAAAUCCUAUAGCUUAACUAUAGAACUGCUUCUGAAACUCUUAAUCUAGAAUAUGGGAGAGGUAGAUGGAAUUUCUGGUGUAGGGGUAAAAUCCGUAGAGAUCAGAAGGAAUACCGAUUGCGAAGGCGAUCUACUAGAACAUUAUUGACGCUGAGACGCGAAAGCGUGGGGAGCAAACAGGAUUAGAUACCCUUGUAGUC
rnacentral:rRNA from 1 species